rnacentral:rRNA from 1 species
UACGAGGGGGGCAAAUGUUGUUCGGAAUCACUGGGCGUAAAGGGAGCGUAGGCGGGCUUCUAAGUUGGAUGUUUAAACCCGGGGCCCAACCCCGGAUCGGCAUCCAAAACUGGGAGUCUUGAAUAGUGGAGAGGACGGCGGAAUUGGGGGUGUAGCGGUGGAAUGCGUAGAGAUCCCCAAGAACACCAGUUGCGAAGGUGGCCGUCUGGACACAUAUUGACGCUGAGGCUCGAAAGCAUGGGGAGCAAACAGG